rnacentral:rRNA from 1 species
UACGGGGGGGACAAGCGUUGUUCGGAUUUACUGGGCGUAAAGGGCGCGUAGGCGGGCCUUCAAGUCGGAUGUGAAACCUGGCGGCUUAACCACCAGCCUGCAUUCGAUACUGUCGGUCUUGAGUAUGGGAGAGGAGAAUGGAAUUUCAGGUGUAGCGGUGAAAUGCGUAGAUAUCUGAAAGAACACCAGUAGCGAAGGCGGUUCUCUGGACCAAUACUGACGCUAAAGCGCGAAGGCUUGGGGAGCAAACAGG